UUUAUGUCCAAAGUCGAUUGGACCUAUGGCAUAAUACUUACAGGAACCGCCAGCAAACUCCAAUUUGUACAGUAGAAGAAACAAAACUAGAAAAAACUCACCAUGAUCACAGCAAACACGCUUCAUUGGAGAUAUUCUGUAAACUUCAUAUUGAAAUCCAAUGUUUUUAACGAAUAUAGUUCAAUUCAAAAUAAUUAACUUUUUCAUGGUCCUUUUAGGAUCUUACUUUGAUCGUCAGUGGAGAAAAAGUCCAAAUGUAUAAGCAAAUAUCUAUCAGAGCCCAAACUUGGGUUAGUCGUACAUAAUUGCCACUUAUUCGUCGUCUUUAUCAACUUCGGUAAAAUCUUCCAUGAUAUCACGUCUAGUACUUUCUUUGUUUGUUGAGUACAUUUCAUCAAUUUCUAUCAUAAGCAGGGGACCGCACACCACUUUAUCUGGUCACGAC
rnacentral:lncRNA from 1 species